GACGAACGCUGGCGGCGUGCUUAACACAUGCAAGUCGAACGGAAAGGCCCUGCUUUUGUGGGGUGCUCGAGUGGCGAACGGGUGAGUAACACGUGAGUAACCUGCCCUUGACUUUGGGAUAACUUCAGGAAACUGGGGCUAAUACCGGAUAGGAGCUCCUGCUGCAUGGUGGGGGUUGGAAAGUUUCGGCGGUUGGGGAUGGACUCGCGGCUUAUCAGCUUGUUGGUGGGGUAGUGGCUUACCAAGGCUUUGACGGGUAGCCGGCCUGAGAGGGUGACCGGCCACAUUGGGACGGGGAUACGGCCCAGACUCUUACGGGAGGAAGCGGUGGGGAAUAUUGCACAAUGGGCGGAGGCCGGAUGCAGCAACGCCGCGUGCGGGAUGACGGCCUUCGGGUUGUAAACCGCUUUCGCCUGUGACGAAGCGUGAGUGACGUUAUGGGUAAAGAAGCACCGGCUAACUACGUG
rnacentral:rRNA from 1 species